UGGAAGGCUGGCUGAUGCACGACAGUGGGACCAUGUGUUUGAGACCUCUGGAGUUUGGAAGAUGAGAUGGGCAUGAUAAAGCCACCAUUUUGGUACCAAGAACCAGAAUACUAUCAGUGGUCAGGGGCCAUACGAACACACAGCGAUCUGACUUGAGGCAACACAUCAGAUUCAGCAAUAAUUGCACAGAAACAAAGCAGAUGUGUUAAUAAUCAUCAAAUCCAAGUUGGGAGUGAGAAAAGGAUCUUCCGACUUACCAGAUU